rnacentral:rRNA from 1 species
UACGUAGGGUGCAAGCGUUAAUCGGAAUUACUGGGCGUAAAGCGUGCGCAGGCGGUUGUGUAAGACAGAUGUGAAAUCCCCGGGCUCAACCUGGGAACUGCAUUUGUGACUGCACGGCUGGAGUGCGGCAGAGGGGGAUGGAAUUCCGCGUGUAGCAGUGAAAUGCGUAGAUAUGCGGAGGAACACCGAUGGCGAAGGCAGCCCCCUGGGCCAACACUGACGCUCAGGCACGAAAGCGUGGGGAGCAAACAGG